rnacentral:rRNA from 1 species
UCCGGUUGAUCCUGCCAGAGGCCGCUGCUAUCCGGCUGGGACUAAGCCAUGCUAGUCUAGGGGCUUGUACCCCUUCGGGGGUGCAAGCACCGGCGGACGGCUCAGUAACACGUGGACAACCUGCCCUCGGGUGGGGGAUAACCCCGGGAAACUGGGGCUAAUCCCCCAUAGGUGAUGGGUGCUGGAAUGCCCCAUCUCCGAAAGCGCUCAGCGCCCGAGGAUGGGUCUGCGGCGGAUUAGGUAGUUGGUGGGGUAACGGCCCACCAAGCCUAAGAUCCGUACGGGCUGUGGGAGCAGGAGCCCGGAGAUGGACCCUGAGACAAGGGUCCAGGCCCUACGGGGCGCAGCAGGCGCGAAACCUCCGCAAUGCGGGAAACCGCGACGGGGUUAGCCGGAGUGCCCGUGCAUUGCACGGGCUGUCGGGGUGCCUAAACAGCACCCCAUAGCAAGGGCCGGGCAAGGCCGGUGGCAGCCGCCGCGGUAAGACCGGCGGCCCGAGUGGCGGCCACUCUUAUUGGGCCUAAAGCGUCCGUAGCCGGCCCAGUAAGUCCCCCGGGAAAUCUGGUCGCUUAACGAUCAGACUUCCGGGGGAUACUGCUGGGCUAGGGACCGGGAGAGGCCGAGGGUA